rnacentral:rRNA from 1 species
AUUGAACGCUGGCGGCAGGCCUAACACAUGCAAGUCGAGCGGAGCGGCGGACGGGUGAGUAAUGCCUAGGAAUCUGCCUGGUCGUGGGGGCUAACGUCCGGAAACGGGCGAUAAUACCGCAUACUCUCAGAUGAGCAUAGGUCGGCUGAGCUAGUUGGUGGGGUAAAGGCCUACCAAGGCGACGAUCCGUAACUGGUCUGCGAGGAUGGUAAGUCACACGGGAACUGAUACACGGUCCAGACUCUUACGGGAUGCAGCAGUGGGGAAUAUUGGACAAUGGGCGAAAGCCUUAUCCAGCCAUGCCGCGGGUGUGAAGAAGGUCUUCGGAUUGUAAAGCUCUUUAAGUUGGUAGGCGUUACCAACAGAAUAAGCACCGGCUAACUUCGUGCCAGCAGCCGCGGUAAUUC